rnacentral:lncRNA from 10 species
GAGGUCCCUUAGCUUAGCAAAUGCAACCACCAGACACUCCACUGAUCACAGCAGAACCUGGGAUCCUUGAGUCAUUCUUAAUGUCCCUCACCCUAGCAGUCUCAACUCUAGUACUCCCAUCUUCACCUGAAUAGUUCCUUGUGGCAUAAAUGUCUAGCCAUCUCCCUUUCUUCUUUAGUGAUAGGCCCAUGGCUGCCCAAAAUAAAGACAAAUUCCCUGGCAUCCU